rnacentral:rRNA from 1 species
UCUGGUUGAUCCUGCCGGACCCGACUGCUAUCAGAGUGGGACUAAGCCAUGCGAGUCAACAUAGCAAUAUGUGGCAUACGGCUCAGUAACACGUAGUCAACAUGCCCAGGGGACGUGGAUAACCUCGGGAAACUGAGGAUAAACCGCGAUAAGUCACUACUUCUGGAAUGGGUAAUGACUAAAAUCUAUAUGGCCCCUGGAUUGGACUGCGGCCGAUCAGGCUGUUGGUGAGGUAAUGGCCCACCAAACCUGUAACCGGUACGGGCUCUGAGAGGAGGAGCCCGGAGAUGGGCACUGAGACAAGGGCCCAGGCCCUAUGGGGCGCAGCAGGCGCGAAACCUCUGCAAUAGGCGAAAGCCUGACAGGGUUACUCUGAGUGAUUUCCGUUAAGGAGAUCUUUUGGCACCUCUAAAAAUGGUGCAGAAUAAGGGGUGGGCAAGUCUGGUGUCAGCCGCCGCGGUAAUACCAGCACCUCGAGUGGUCAGGACGUUUAUUGGGCCUAAAGCAUCCGUAGCCGGCUUUGCAAGUCUUCGGUUAAAUCCACCCGCUCAACAGAUGGGCCGCUGGAGAUACUACAAAGCUAGGGAGUGGGAGAGGCAGACGGUAUUCAGUGGGUGGGGGUAAAAUCCUCUGAUCCAUUGAGGACCACCAGUGGCGAAGGCGGUCUGCCAGAACACGUUCGACGGUGAGGGAUGAAAGCUGGGGGAGCAAACCGGAUUAGAUACCCGGGUAGUCCCAGCUGUAAACGAUGCAAACUCGGUGAUGCAUUGGCUUAUGGCCAAUGCAGUGCCGCAGGGAAGCCGUUAAGUUUGCCGCCUGGGAAGUACGGACGCAAGUCUGAAACUUAAAGGAAUUGGCGGGGGAGCACCACAAGGGGUGAAGCCUGCGGUUCAAUUGGACUCAACGCCGGG